GGGUCAGUAGGUUGGUCGUGCCACCGGUACGUACUGGUCUCACUGAUUCCUCCUUCCUGUAGACCCGUAAUGCCAUUAAUUUGGUGUUGCGGGGAAACAGGACUGUUACUUUGAAAAAAUUAGAGUGUUUAAAGCAAGCUAACGCUUGAAUACAUUAGCAUGGAAUAAUGAAAUAGGACGAUCGAUCCUAUUUUGUUGGUUUCUAGGAUUGACGUA
rnacentral:rRNA from 1 species